GAUGAACGCUGGCGGCGUGCCUAAUACAUGCAAGUCGAGCGAAUGGAUUAAGAGCUUGCUCUUAUGAAGUUGGCGGCGGACGGGUGAGUAACACGUGGGUAACCUGCCCAUAAGACUGGGAUAACUCCGGGAAACCGGGGCUAAUACCGGAUAACAUUUUGAACCGCAUGGUUCGAAAUUGAAAGGCGGCUUCGGUUGUCAAUUAUGUAUGAACCCGGGUCGCAUUAGCUAGUUGGUGAGGUAACGGCUCACCAAGGCAACGAUGCGUAGCCGACCUGAGGGGGUGAUCGGCAACACUGGGACUGAGACACGGCCCAGACUCCUACGGGAGGCAGCAGUAGGGAAUCUUCCGCAAUGGACGAAAGUCUGACGGAGCAACGCCGCGUGAGGGAUGAAGGCUUUCGGGUCGUAAAACUCUGUUGUUAGGGAAGAACAAGUGCUAGUUGAAUAAGCUGGCACCUUGACGGUACCUAACCAGAAAGCCACGGCUAACUACGUGCCAGCAGCCGCAGUAA
rnacentral:rRNA from 1 species